UACGUAGGGUGCGAGCGUUGUCCGGAAUUAUUGGGCGUAAAGAGCUUGUAGGCGGUUUGUCGCGUCUGCCGUGAAAAUCCGGGGCUCAACCCCGGACUUGCGGUGGGUACGGGCAGACUAGAGUGUGGUAGGGGAGACUGGAAUUCCUGGUGUAGCGGUGAAAUGCGCAGAUAUCAGGAGGAACACCGAUGGCGAAGGCAGGUCUCUGGGCCACUACUGACGCUGAGAAGCGAAAGCGUGGGGAGCGAGCAGG
rnacentral:rRNA from 1 species